rnacentral:rRNA from 1 species
CACGGGUGAGUAACACGUAUCCAACCUGCCGUCUACUCUUGGACAGCCUUCUGAAAGGAAGAUUAAUACAAGAUGGCAUCAUGAGUCCGCAUGUUCACAUGAUUAAAGGUAUUCCGGUAGACGAUGGGGAUGCAUUCCAUUAGAUAGUAGGCGGGGUAACGGCCCACCUAGUCUUCGAUGGAUAGGGGUUCUGAGAGGAAGGUCCCCCACAUUGGAACUGAGACACGGUCCAA